rnacentral:tRNA from 1 species
CACGGUGGUCUAGCGGUUAGAACGCUGGCCUUGUAAUCCUGGAGUCUCGGGUUCGAUUCCCGGCGGUG